rnacentral:rRNA from 1 species
GUGGGGAAUAUUGGGCAAUGGGCGCAAGCCUGACCCAGCAACGCCGCGUGAGGGAAGAAGGUUUUCGGAUUGUAAACCUCUGUCGCAGAUGACGAAGGAAGUGACGGUAAUCUGUGAGGAAGCCCCGGCUAACUACGUGCCAGCAGCCGCGGUAAUACGUAGGGGGCGAGCGUUGUCCGGAAUUACUGGGCGUAAAGGGAGCGUAGGCGGUCGAUUAAGUUGGAUGUGAAAUACCCGGGCUUAACUUGGGGGGUGCAUCCAAUACUGGUUGACUAGAGUACAGGAGAGGAAAGCGGAAUUCCUAGUGUAGCGGUGAAAUGCAUAGAUAUUAGGAGGAACAUCGGUGGCGAAGGCGGCUUUCUGGACUGUAACUGACACUGAGGCACGAAAGCGUGGGGAGCAAACAGGAUUAGAAACCCCAGUAGUCC